CCGGGCAGUCGCGGGUUUUCUUUUUCGGAAGAGGGCUCGAGGAAAGUCCGGACACUACAGAGCAGUGUGCCUUAUGAAAAUGAGGGACGGUGAUUCGGAAGGAUCGCCGGACAGAUAGUGCCGCAGAAAACAAACCGCCUUCUUCGGGAGGUAAGGGUGAAAAGGUGAGGUAAGAGCUCACCGCGCCGAGGGUGACCGAGGCGGCAGGGUAAACCUCUCACAGUGCAAGACAGAACAGGGGAAGAGCUGCUCGCUCGUUAAAUCCCCGGGUAAUAGUCGCAAAGAUAAAUGACUGCCAAGGCUGGUAAUUGGACCAGCUGAACAGAAUCCGGCUUACAGGG
rnacentral:RNase_P_RNA from 1 species